rnacentral:rRNA from 1 species
AUGAGAAGUAUCGUGGCCAUGAUCAAGUCUACACCGCCGCAAAUGGUCCAGGAUCAGGUCACGAAGCAGAUUCUCCAUAGGGGCUUCUGUGUGGACGGACUCUAUUCGUUGCUUCCCAAGUAUUGCAAGUUCAAUAAACAAGUGUAUGGUGCCAUCAAGCUCUCUGCUGAAAGGUGGCACAGUCGUUUAGGGCAUCCAUCCUUUGCUACUGUUCAUCAAAUUCUAAGUAGAAAUAAACUCCCAGUUGUUGGUGAGAGAAAUUCAGAAACUAUUUGUGAUUCAUGUCAACGAGCAAAAAGUCAUCAGUUACCAUAUCCCGUUUCUUCUAGUGUGUCUACCAAGCCUUUACAACUUAUCUUUUCUGAUGUUUGGAGUCCAGCA